UACGGAGGGUGCAAGCGUUGUCCGGAUUCAUUGGGUUUAAAGGGUGCGCAGGCGGGAAAUUAAGUCAGAGGUGAAAGACGGUUGCUCAACAAUCGCAGUGCCUUUGAUACUGGUUUUCUUGGGUGACCUUGAGGUAGGCGGAAUGGGUGGUGUAGCGGUGAAAUGCAUAGAUACCACCCAGAACUCCGAUUGCGAAGGCAGCCUACUGGAGGUUCACCGACGCUCAGGCACGAAAGCGUGGGGAUCAAACAGG
rnacentral:rRNA from 1 species